GGUUAAGGGUCAGGGUUGGGGGCUGUGGGCGGGAUACGCUCUCUGGAGCUCCAAGCCCCGCUGGAGAGUGGGGGUCUGGUUCCAGGGGGGCCCGCGAACGCGAACCGGGAUCCGCCCCGGCUGGAGGAGAGGGGCCCGGGGCGGGAGCCCGGCGCGGACUCGGAGCUGGGGUGGCCUCUAGAAGCGCCGACUCUGGUGAACCGAUCUACUGAGGGGGAUGGCGUGGAGCGCGCGCUCGGCGAUCGGCGCCACCUGCGGGUCGGGGAGGGCGAGGCGGCGAUGCCCGGAGGCGCGGGCGCAACAGAACUGUGCCACGAAGUCGUCGUGUCUGGCCCACGUUUGCAUCCCCUACAAAGGCGGCCUGAAAUUGAUGAAAGCGUUCAGUGUCCGUUAAACUCCAGCCUGCAUUAGAAAGAUCUGCAUCAAGCUGAAUGUGUUACCCAGAUGGAACUGGAACUCGAGAUUCUCCAAUCUCAGCCUCCCCGAGUGCAGAGAUUACAGGUGUGAGCCACCUCCCAGCUCCCGUGUAUCUUGUCUGAUCUUGCUAUGUAGUUCCGGCUGGCCCUGAACUCACUGACCUCAAACUCAAAGCAAUCCUCCUGCCUCAGCUUCCCAGGUACUGGGAUUCCAGGCAUAUGCCACCAUACCCAGCUUUUGAAAGACCUCUUUAAGUAAUUGAGAUGGGCCAACUUUCCUUUCUGGCAACCAAAACAGCUAAAUAAGUAGUGAAC
rnacentral:lncRNA from 1 species